GCAUUAUUAUUUGUAUGGAGCGUGUCCUAUCGAUCGAAGCGCACCGAUGGUGUUUCGCAGGGACAUGCUCUUUUCGCUGAUUUCCCUUGGCACAUUCCGUGCCGGAUGUUUAGGUGAAAUCGGGGUUCGCAAGUGAGGAGCUUUCCCAAAACACGGAGAGCCUGGGAAGGGAGAGGCCGAUUAUGACCCCUCGCUCCGCCGAGACAGUUGCGUUGGGUCGCGCACCACAUGCGGGCCGAGCCGACAAAGAUGAAUGCAAGCCUGACUUGCAUCACCGUUAGAUGAUACUACUUCUCGGGUCAUCCUGCUUGGCAGGUUUCGACAAUGAUCCUUCCGCAGGUUCACCUACGGAAACCUUGUUACGACUUUUACUUCCA
rnacentral:rRNA from 1 species